UUUUGAAACGGGUUGUAGCUGGCCUUUCCGAGGCAUGUGCACGCCCUGCUCAUCCACUCUACACCUGUGCACUUACUGUGGGUUUCGGGAGACGGUCGCGCCUUUACGGGUUGCGGUCGUUGAUCGGGCCUGCGUUUUACCACAAACCACAAAGUAUCAGAAUGUGUAUCGCGAUGUAACGCAUCUAUAUACAACUUUCAGCAACGGAUCUCUUGGCUCUCGCAUCGAUGAAGAACGCAGCGAAAUGCGAUAAGUAAUGUGAAUUGCAGAAUUCAGUGAAUCAUCGAAUCUUUGAACGCACCUUGCGCUCCUUGGUAUUCCGAGGAGCAUGCCUGUUUGAGUGUCAUGAAAUUCUCAACCUACAAAGUCUUUGCGGGCUUCGUUAGGAUUGGACUUGGAGGCUUUUGUCGAUCGGUUUCAAAUCGGUCGGCUCCUCUUAAACGCAUUAGCUUGAUUCCUUGCGGAUCGGAUCUCGGUGUGAUAAUUGUCUACGCCGCGACCGUGAAGCGUUUGGCGAGCUUCUAACCGUCUCGUAUAUGAGACAGCUUAUUAUGACCUCUGA
rnacentral:rRNA from 1 species